CUGGUCUAUCUUCCGUUUCCUUCCUUCUCUGCCGCACCAAUUCCCUCCCCUUCGCUCCCCUUCCGACGCCCACCCGCACGCCCCUCCUCCGCCAGAUCUCCGCGGCGGUACCGGAGGCCUUCCUCACUGUCGCGGCAGAGCUCCUCCACCGCCGCCGAAGACCCGGGUCCGGCGGCCCUUGAGCUGGGGCACAAGCUGACCCACGCCCUCCUCCGCCGCCAGCUCAGCGCCACCGACCCGCGCCGCGGACACCGUCACUCCGGCCUGCGCUCCACCUAGCCGCGGGCGCCGACGCCACGCCUCCUCCGCCAGCUCUCCGCGGGGCCAGCUCUCCUAAUCUCGUGAUCCCCAAUCCGGAGGUCUCCGAGUCGCCGAUCAGGGAGCUCAGGGGCUCGGAUUCGAGCUCCUACUCGUGGCCCAUGCUCUCCCCCGCGCUCGUGAUCUCACCCUGCUCCGAUGUCCCAGCCGCGCCUCCCCGCCGGCCCUAACCGCUGCACCCCCCUGCUCUCCUCCGCACUCGCCGACGCCUCUGACCUGCAACGAGCCGGUGCUCCCUACGAUCUGCUCCGAUCCGAGGUCCUCGCCGUCGGCCCUGCGUUCAUCGUCGGCGCCACGUUCACCAUCACACUCGGACCUGCAACGCCAUGGACUAUUCCGCGCGCUCACGAUCUCGCCCAGCUGCGGACGCCGUCGCUGCGCCACCCUCCCAACCGCGCCGCCGCUGCGGACGACGUCGCCACGCCGCCCUCCUCACCGCGACUCCCCAUGGUGCUUCCGUGGAACCUGAGCGCAUCUCGCCCAUAUGGCUCUCUCUGCUCUUAGGGAGCACAAACUAAGGAGUCGGGAGCUUCCAGCGUCAGGCCUAGGCUUCACUGCACAACCUGAUUGUGUAAAUUCAUUUGGCUUUCUCUUCUCAUGGAUAUUGACGAACCAAGAACUCCACGUAUACUGGCACCGCUGCUACCGAAUACUGGCAGCGGAGGCAGCUCAAUAGCCGCGGGAUCGGGUGGUGCUCAAGCCACCUUCCUCCGGCGCAGGACCAUAGGUGUUUUUCUCUUCGUCGCCUGAUCAUCCCCAAUUAUCAUCCAUGCUCUUGAGCUACUUGAAGUUUCUAUGGGAUGAUCUGGUUCAUGUGAUAGUGGUUUCAAUACUGCCAUCAAGAUUGGUGGUGAUCCGAGCGUUUUGAGGGCAAAUGAUGGGAAGGACAUGUGCUAGCGGCGUUGACAUACUCUUCUUCUUGAGGUAGGAGUGAGGAGGAAGGCCGAACCUUCUGAAACAGCCAGCAAAAUUGAGAGUUAACCGAGGAUCGCGCAGCGGCCGCCGCUCCAGCCGACAAUGAUCCCUCCAUCACAGUACUGUAGGAAGAUUGAAAAAUAGCAGACUAAAGUAGAGAAAUAGUUCAAGAUAUGUGGCAUAACGAUGCCAUCAUUCAUUCCUAACAUCAAACAGGGGCUGUUCUAAUACAUAUUUUUUGCUUACUAUGAGAAGAAGGUAUGAACAAAUAGAAUCUUUUCUUCAUUCACACAUUGCAAUGGUCAUUCUUAAUUGAUCUGUUGAAAGGAAACCAUGUUCAUGGGCAAGUUGCUUGGAUAUACUGAUUCUCGUGGGAACCAAUGCAUUUAGGUCUUCUCAUUAUUUACAAAAGAUUGUGCUGAUAUAGGAUUAUCUACUACUAUUCCAGGUUUCAAUAUAUUUACAAACUAAUUGAUCAGUCCUUCAGAGGCUUCCAGGUUCAGCCGUGGUCAUCAUGAGUACAAGCUGCUAAGAGCAACAACCGUGUGGAGCAUUGCAGGUUCUGUGAAUUGUGGUAAUAAAUAAUGGGUUAACAAGCAUGCCGUGGUCAGCAUUGAGAAACCUCCUGUUUGUUCUUCCUGCUAUUCCAAGAUGAUUUGGAGAGGAAGGCUGUUUGUUCUUCCUGCUAUUCCAAGAAGAUCUGGAGAAGAAGGCUGAGGUGCUCGAGAAGAAAAUAUUUCUACUUUGGGGCCAUGUUUCCAAACUGAUAGCAGCAGGAUUGACUAAUUUCAGGUUUGAUUUGGUUAUUCUAUUCUCUUCUCGAUUUAAUGAAUGCUUUGAUAUUUUCCGCUAAUUAAAGGUGGGUUGUGAUUGUGCCAGGAAGAGUAUUAGUGAUGGGGUUAAAUACUAAGACCUUAGCUAAGUUAUCUCUAUAUAUAAAUGGAGGUUUUUUCCUUUGGGUGUUUUUUCAUUCAUUAAGUUCCAACUUUUUUAUUGCUGUAUGUACCAAGCUGAAUGCCAUACAUGAGCUCCAAUAUGUCUGUUCUAAGAGAUUUACCUGAUAAUACUAUAUGCCAAUAUUAAGUUAUUUUUGUUACAGUCAAGGACACAGUUAGAAUGCUUGCAUGGUAGAGCUCACAAGUUCAAGGAAUAUGGCUACAAUGCAGUCCUUAUGCAAUCUGAUUCUGUCAAGUAUGCUCUUAUGCAACAUGUGCUAUUUUUUUUCUACUGCAGCCAUUUGUGGAGAGUUUAUCUAAAUGCCUAAAGCAUGGGCUUUACAAUCCACUUAAAGCAAGAUCAAAGCAUUGCAGAUGCGAUAUACAUCACUAACAGUGUUUCAUUCUCCUUUGUAAUUUUUGACAUUCCUGUUUUCUGCCUUUAUUUACAAAAUUUGGUUACUUAUUCUGUCUCAAGUCUAAACUUUACUAUCAGCUGAUGGAGUACUGGAUACCUGACCAAUCUUUGCUUUUAUGGAAUUAUAUGCACUACAUUAUUUGUCCAUAUGUUCAAUCCUAGCAUCUGCAGUUUAUUCUCAGUAAGACUGUGUUAGGCUGCAGCACAAUGCUAAUAAAUUUGAUUCAUCCAGAAGAUAUUAUUUUUACUACUGCAACAAGUUUUGGAUGUCAAAAAGAUCUAUGAAGAGAUUAGCUGCAUUGCAUCGAGUUUUAUUUGUCAAAGGUCUAGGAGAAAUUAGAACGGUAGACAUAUUGCUAACUAAUUAGACAAAAAUAUUAGUACAGUAGACAUACCAGUAUGCUUGAUCACUUUCAGUAUGCCUUAUUCUGUUCUGAUUAUCUAACUCCUAUGAAGUUGAAUAUCUUUUCCUCAUGUGUAAACUGUAUGUUAAUGCUGACGUGUAAUUUCCAGAGGUGAAAUCCGAAGGGUGUAGACUCCUAGGGGGUGAGAGAAUAGAGUGUAGAGCUGAAGGGUGAAGCUGAAGGCACCGCAAGAUCCCAGAACAAGACGCUCGAGAAAUGGGAUCGGCGGCAGCAAGGACACGAGGGCUGGAGGGGAGGAGCAACUCGAUUCUAUAUGGAUGGAUCUUGCUACAUUUUUUAAGUCUUGUAUGCUACUGUUGGCCAUAUUUUAAAUUCCGUAUCAAUCAAUAAUCAACAUUAAUGGAUUGAGACAA